rnacentral:rRNA from 1 species
AUUGAACGCUGGCGGCAUGCUUUACACAUGCAAGUCGAACGGCAGCACGGGCUUCGGCCUGGUGGCGAGUGGCGAACGGGUGAGUAAUACAUCGGAACGUACCCAGUAGUGGGGGAUAGCCCGGCGAAAGCCGGAUUAAUACCGCAUAUGCCCUGAGGGGGAAAGCGGGGGACCGAAAGGCCUCGCGCUAUUGGAGCGGCCGAUGGCUGAUUAGCUAGUUGGUGGGGUAAAGGCCUACCAAGGCGACGAUCAGUAGCUGGUCUGAGAGGACGACCAGCCACACUGGGACUGAGACACGGCCCAGACUCCUACGGGAGGCAGCAGUGGGGAAUUUUGGACAAUGGGCGAAAGCCUGAUCCAGCAAUGCCGCGUGUGCGAAGAAGGCCUUCGGGUUGUAAAGCACUUUUGUUUGGAAAGAAAAGGUUUGGGUUAAUACCCUGGACUGAUGACGGUACCAAUCGAAUAAGCACCGGCUAACUACGUGCCAGCCGCCGCCGUAA